ensembl:lncRNA
CUUUGGAGCACACUUUGAGAACCACUGCUUUAUAUAAUAUAAAUAUUUAGAUGUAAUGUGUAAAGUGUCUAUGCCCCCCCCCCCUCCCCCCACUACCACCACCACCGUAAAACAUUAAGAUGUAUUAAUAUAUCAUUUAUAUUAAAUAUGGUUUAAAAUAUGUUGAGACAUAUAAAUAUAUGUAUAAACGUAGGCUGUGUUUAACACUGCAAACGGUUUCCAUGGAAACGAACGUAAUAAGCGGAAGUGACGCGGGGAGGCGUGCGUUUAAAACCCUCGGCGCCUCUCCGUGUAGAUGCUCUGAAGCCUGAACCAUGGACCAGACUCUCUCCAUCACAGGAUCUCUGUGUGUGUGUAUCAGUGCUGUCAUGCUGCUCCAGAGUUCUCCCACAGCAGCUCAUUCCAAUACCGAAGUGAACGCGCCGACGAUUAUCCACAUGGCGCAGAAGUUUUCAGGCACUCGCUACAGGAUCACCUGCAGAGUGAACCCUGGAGGACUCAAAGACGAGAUCAUGGUGUACUGGCUGGCCGAUGGAGACUUUUUAGAGACGGCCUAUAAAAACAUCCGUGUGACAAAAAAAGUGAAAUGGUUGGACGGGACAGAGUACAUCGAGACCACAGCGGUGUUCAAAAAGCUUUCUCAGAAAGACUUCGACACCAAUUUCACCUGCAUCGCUCUGAGUCCAGCCGGGUUCGCCAAAGAAAACAUUCAAAUCAUAAAAGCAUCUCCUAGACUGACCUGAGUGUGUUUGUAACUUCUCAGUAUUUAUGACCCAGUGUUCAACACGAAAUGUAGGAAUACGUUCAUCUCCGUAGCUAAACGAGCGAAUGCGUGUCCUUUAAAAACAAAAUACCCAAGACCUCUUUACGAAGUAUUUUAGGAUGUAAUCAUAUCUCUAAAAUGUUUUAUUUCCAAAGGAUUUUUGGAAGUUUGUUUGUGGAUGCAGAUCUACUUGGCAUCAAACUGCAUAUAUUGUAGAAGUUAUAUUGCGUGAAGGAGUUUAAUGUUGAAUUAUUGGGUAUUAUUUUUAUAUUAAUAUACGAUUUAUAAACCUGACUGUUAGUUGGGUGUUUCAGCUGUACUUGAAAACUUGUUUUUUUUCUUUAUAAAUCUCAAGUGAUCAUUUAUGAGUUUCUCUUUAAAUCGUGUAAAAUUCCAGGGGAUUGUUUAUAAAAGAAAAUUGUACAUGCAUUCACACAAAAACAAUCUGAUUUUAUAAAACUCUUUGUAUGCCAUGUCUAUGUGAUGUAUAAAUCUCCCAAAUGACCAUCAAAAUCUCUCAACACCUCCAUGUUUUGCGUAUUCAUGAACGUCUGUGUGUGUAAACAGUGUGUUUAAACAUUGUCCUUAUUUUAUUUCUUAUUAUUUAUCCUUUAUUUUCCACUGCAUUCUCAAUGAGAGUGUAGAAACGAAUCAGUUCAUUGUGUAAUAAUAAACACAAUCAAAUAAUGAAUAUCUGUGAGUUCAUUUCUGUUCCAAAAAACAUAUUUUAG